rnacentral:lncRNA from 1 species
GACGCUAAAGCAUUUUCCCCCUGCAGAGCAUGUUGCAACAUUUAUCAGUCACACUGAGAAUCCAGAAGAUGAAGGAAAAGGUCACGUCGUUCGCUGAGAACUUACCGAAGUUGAACUCCCUCACUUUCCGCUUCCCAGCAUUGGCGGGUUCCGGGACUGGUGGCUGCGGUAGCUCAUUGGCCUUUGGUCUCUUAGACGGUGGAGAAUAAUCAUCAUCUUGAAAAAGAAAAUGGUCAUUACUGGAAGAACCAUCUUACAGUUACAGUCACCUCCUGGUCAAUUCCCAACAUUCAAAAGCUAAAGAAACAGGCUCAGAGGAUGUUAUUUGAUUGGACUAUGUUGUAUCUCUGGAGAGCACAGCUGAGAUCAGACUGUGUGUGUGUAACUCCACUAGACUACGAGGGUGCUUCUCAUAAAGGGUUGCAAGAUCAUAGUUCUCGGGGUGUUUAAAGGCAACACCUUCCGGAAGCCCCUGCACUACCACAGCCGACUGGUCUCGCAGCAUCUUCUCAUAUGGUACAGGUACCACUGUGGAUUUGCCUAAAGCUUUCCCUGGGGCAGAUGAAAAGCGGAUGAACAUCAUUCAAUGUAGGCCAAAGUGGUAAAAAGCAAAUGAGUACUGCCAGAAACAGGCAUGGAAUACCAAAACAAGAAUUUUACAGAGGAGAAAACAAACAGGAAGACAGCAGGGAGAGUUCCAGAACAAAAGGACAACAGUAAAGGACGACAGGGCAAGAAUGGAGAAUGAAGAAUUAUCAAGACAAUACCUUCACCUCUUCCGAUGACGUACCCACACAAUUUUUACAGGAUACACACAUCCUUGGCUGGGUGCGGUGGCCCAGCACUUUCGGAGGCCAAGGCGGGCAGAUCACCUGAGGUCAGGAGUUUGAGACCAACCUGGCCAACACGGUGAAACCCCGUCUCUACUAAAAAUACAAAAUUAGCCGGGCAUGGUGGCGGGUGCCUAUAGUCCCAGCUACUUAGGAGACUGAGGCAGGAGAAUCGCUUGAACCCAGGAGGCGAAGGUUGCAGUGAGCCAAGAUCACGCCACUGCACUCCAGCCUGGGUGACAAAAGCGAGACUCUGUCUCAAAAAUAAAUAAUAAUAAAAUAAAAUGCAAUAAAAAAACACACAUCUUCUAAGACACUAAGGCGUUUUGCUCCCCCAGGUAGGUAGCCCCAAUACACUUUAGUUAACCGAGUAUGAGUCUUCAUAGAGCUAUGCUGCCAGCUUAAGCCUACUGAUUCCCAAGUAUCUCAACUCUACAAUUAGAAUAAGCAACUGAUUAGGUGUAUUUUCUACUUUCUUUCAGUUAUUAACAAUGAAUAACCUUCACUCAAUAAACGAACCAGGCGCAGUGGCUCACGCCUGUAAUCUCAGCACUUGGGGAGGCCGAGGUGGGUGGAUCACUUGAGGUCAGGAGUUGGAGACCACCAGCCUGGCUAACAUGGUGAAACCCCAUCUCUAUGAAAAAUACAAAAAAAUUAGCUGGGCAUGGUGGCACAUGCCUGUAAUCCCAGCUACUCGUGAGGCUAAGGCACAAGAAUCGCUUGAGCCCGGGAAUCGGAGGUUGCAGAGAGCUGAGAUGGCACCACUGCACUCCAGCCUGGGCCACAGAGCGAGACUCCAUCUCAAAAAAAUAAAUAAAUACUUUCCCUUAGACUGACAUAAAAAUGAUUUGAC